rnacentral:rRNA from 1 species
CACGUAAGGGGCAAGCGUUGUUCGGAAUUAUUGGGCGUAAAGGGCGUGUAGGCGGUUUUGUAAGCCUGGUGUAAAAGGUGUACGCUUAACGUACAUAGGUCGCUGGGGACUGCGAGACUAGAGUUGAGGAAGGGGAGCUGGAAUUCCAGGUGUAGGGGUGAAAUCUGUAGAUAUCUGGAAGAACACCAAUGGCGAAGGCAAGCUUCUGGCCAUAGACUGACGCUGAGGCGCGAAAGCGUGGGGCGCAAACAGGAUUAGAUACCCUGGUAGUCCACGCUGUAAACGAUGUGCACUAGGUGUUGGUGCGAAUGCAUCAGUGCCGAAGUUAACGCGAUAAGUGCACCGCCUGGGGAGUAUGCUCGCAAGGGUGAA